rnacentral:lncRNA from 1 species
AUGGAUGGGUCCCUGCAAUGUGUGCAUAUCAAAAGCAGCACCUUGUUCGCAGAGGGAAGGCAAACAGGGGCUCGUGGUGGAUUUUCUCAGAGCAUUUUUGGUUGUUUUGAUGGCUCCAGCUGGAAGGGCAGCAUGGGACCCCGCUCCCAUCCUUCUUCCGCACAGAGGACGGUUCUCAUGAGCAAAAAAUGUGGCUUGCUCUCUGCUGCUGACAAACAGCAGGAGCACAGCAGCCCUGACGCCUUCCAGCACAGAGCAGCAAACACGCGUCCCGUCAGGAGGGAUGAAUAUCGCAUUGACGGAGGCAACAUUACUCAUUUUCCUGCUUGGGAAGCCAAGUAUGGGAGAAAAAGCUCUGGGUUGUGCCUGGGGCUCUGUCCUAUGAGCUGCAGAGCCCUCACUGGGGCAGCUCCACUGGGCUCCCCCCAGGAGCAAACAUGCCCCGUGCAAUGCAAUGGCAUCGCAGCUCCAUGCCGUACCCUAAGAAAACCCUACAUCAGAGCUCACCAAAAUGCUGUUAAGCCCCAUCCCCACUACCAGGGGAGUGAUUCCCAGCACCAGGGGACACCCAAAUGUCCCCAGAACCACAGCACCCAAAUGUCCCCAGCUGCACUUUGCUGCCCAAAGAAGAAGACCCAGAGCAGAGCAGGGUGCAGAGAAGAACACCAGCUCCAUGGCAGUGAAAGAAUGCACAGGAUUUGCUCUCCCAUGGCAUCCCAUGAUGUCCUCAAAACACCUCUUCCUCUACAUCCACUGCCCACACACAUGCCUUGGCACAAGGAUGCCAUUGCUGAGCUUUCCUUCCCCUACACAAAAUGCAUGAGACCGAAAGGUAGAACGCUGCCAGGUGCAAUCCUACCUCAUUCAUUUGCACCACAGGUUUGCAGCCUGUUAAAGCAUUUAAAUAUGGAGAAAGGCACUGCCUCACGUCGGGCUGGGAUGUGCUUGCACGUAGAUAUGCAUAUUUUAAAAGCUUGGCAGGAAGAGGGCUCCAAACUACACAAUUAA